rnacentral:misc_RNA from 1 species
AGAAAACCCUGGUGUCCCUCUGGCUAUGAUUGACAGAUCUACAUCUUCAGCCUUCAAGACCUUUGCCAUGUGUGCUUCCAUGAUCUGCCUUCGACCCUCGACAUCAGGAUUAGGUACGACAAUAUGGCGGUCGAAUCGUCCAGGUCUUACUAGAGCUUUGUCCAGUGACUCGGGGAAGUUAGUGGCAGCGACCACAAUAAUCCCCUCAUUUUGCUUGAAGCCGUCCAACUCAACAAGCAUCUGGUUCAAGGUCAUUUUCAUGUACUGUUGGUCCUUCGGGUUGCGG